rnacentral:rRNA from 1 species
AUUGAACGCUGGCGGCAGGCCUAACACAUGCAAGUCGAGCGGAGCGGCGGACGGGUGAGUAAUGCCUAGGUAUCUGCCUGGUAGUGGGGGAUAACGUCCGGAAAUGGGCGCUAUUACCACAUCCUAUCACCUGAGCCUAGGUCGGAUUAGCUAGUUGGUGGGGUAAAGGCCUACCGAGGCGACGAUCCGUAACUGGUCUGAGAGGAUGAUCAGUCACACUGGAACUGAGACACGGUCCAGACUCCUACGGGAGGCAGCAGUGGGGAAUAUUGGACAAUGGGCGAAAGCCUGAUCCAGCCAUGCCGCGUGUGUGAAGAAGGUCUUCGGGUUGUAAAGCACUUUAAGUUGGGAGGCGUUACCAGCAGAAGAAGCACCGGCUAACUCCGUGCCAGCCGCCGCGGUAAUAC